AUGGGAACGCGAAGAACCUUACCUACUCUUGACAUCCAGAGAACUUUCCAGAGAUGGAUUGGUGCCUUCGGGAACUCUGAGACAGGUGCUGCAUGGCUGUCGUCAGCUCGUGUUGUGAAAUGUUGGGUUAAGUCCCGCAACGAGCGCAACCCGUUAUCCUUUGUUGCCAGCGGUUAGGCCGGGAACUCAAAGGAGACUGCCAGUGAUAAACUGGAGGAAGGUGGGGAUGACGUCAAGUCAUCAUGGCCCUUACGAGUAGGGCUACACACGUAGCUACAAUGGCGCAUACAAAGAGAAGCGACCUCGCGAGAGCAAGCGGACCUCAUAAAGUGCGUCGUAGUCCGGAUUGGAGUCUGCAACUCGACUCCAUGAAGUCGGAAUCGCUAGUAAUCGUAGAUCAGAAUGCUAC
rnacentral:rRNA from 1 species